AGCUAGUUGGUAGGGUAACGGCCUACCAAGGCGACGAUCAGUAGCCGGACUGAGAGGUUGGCCGGCCACAUUGGGACUGAGAUACGGCCCAGACUCCUACGGGAGGCAGCAGUGGGGAAUAUUGGGCAAUGGGCGCAAGCCUGACCCAGCAACGCCGCGUGAAGGAAGAAGGCUUUCGGGUUGUAAACUUCUUUUGACAGGGAAGAGCAGAAGACGGUACCUGUCGAAUAAGCCACGGCUAACUACGUGCCAGCAGCCGCGGUAAUACGUAGGUGGCAAGCGUUGUCCGGAUUUACUGGGCGUAAAGGGCGUGUAGCCGGGCUGACAAGUCAGAUGUGAAAUCCGGGGGCUCAACCCCCGAACUGCAUUUGAAACUGUUGGUCUUGAGUAUCGGAGAGGCAGGCGGAAUUCCUAGUGUAGCGGUGAAAUGCGUAGAUAUUAGGAGGAACACCAGUGGCGAAGGCGGCCUGCUGGACGACAACUGACGGUGAGGCGCGAAAGCGUGGGGAGCAAACAGGAUUAGAUACCCUGGUAGUCCACGCUGUAAACGAUGGAUACUAGGUGUGCGGGGACUGACCCCCUGC
rnacentral:rRNA from 1 species